GGAUGACAGGGCAUUUGGGCCAGAGGGUCAGUUAAUACCAGCUUGUGGCAUGAGCACAGCCCCAUGCCCCUGGGGCGGGAGCCUGGGCACAGAGCCUCUGGGUCAUGAAGGCCCCCACUCCCAGUUCGUCCACCGCCAGCUGCCGGGGUGAUGCCCCGAAGAGCGGGAGCCUGCUGGCCAGGGGCGCUUGGCAGCUCUUGUUCCUGCUCCUGCUCCUGUGUGGACCCGGUCUGGUGAAAUUCCACACCCCACUGCUGGGGCUGCAGGCAGCCCUGGCAAGUGUGGCCUCCCACUGCCUCUCGGUCUGCAUGCUGGGCCUCUGCCUCCUGUGCUGUAGCAGCCUACAGCCACCACUGUCCCUUUUAGCCAGCGUUUCCCUGGACCUGACCCAGCCACCCUGAGCAGGCUCCCGCUAGCCUCCAUCAGCCUGUGCCUAGUGGUUGCGGACAAGGAUACCAGCAAGGGAGAAGGAGGCCGUGGCUGUGCGACCAGCAAGGUGCCCAUUAGCACCAGGUUCCAGAGCCAUAGGACAAGCAAGAUGGCCUUCAGGUCUUCAUCCAAGCAGGCCCUCGCACGGCAAGUCAAGGCGACCUGUGUUCUCAUCAUUCUUCUGUAUAUCUGUGCCGCGUCUCUUUUUGUGCAGAUCUUAAAAUAAAUGAUCCAGUGUGAACCGGCCUCCGGGAUGUCCCUGACUUGCUUUGUCAGUGAGAGACUGAAUGGCCUCAGAUCUGUCCCCUGAAGCCUUUACUGGGCUCAGGGCAAGGGUGGGUGGUACCCAGCAUGCAAGCCCCAUGCAUCCCAGGGGCCUGGCUGGGGGACCUGAUCUCAGCUCUGUCACUGCUGUGUGUCCUUGGGGAGGUUUCUUCCCCCUUCUCAGCCCCA
rnacentral:lncRNA from 1 species